rnacentral:rRNA from 1 species
AGCGAACGCUGGCGGCAGGCUUAACACAUGCAAGUCGAGCGGGCAUCUUCGGGUGUCAGCGGCGGACGGGUGAGUAACGCGUGGGAACGUGCCUUCUGGUUCGGAAUAACUCAGGGAAACUUGAGCUAAUACCGGAUACGCCCUUUUGGGGAAAGGUUUACUGCCGGAAGAUCGGCCCGCGUCUGAUUAGCUAGUUGGUGGGGUAACGGCCUACCAAGGCGACGAUCAGUAGCUGGUAUGUGAGGAUGAUCAGCCACACUGGGACGGAGACACGGCCCGGACUCCUACGGGAGGCAGCAGUGGGGAAUAUUGGACAAUGGGGGCAACCCUGAUCCAGCCAUGCCGCGUGAGUGAUGAAGGCCUUAGGGUUGUAAAGCUCUUUUAUCCGGGACGAUAAUGACGGUACCGGAGGAAUAAGCCCCGGCUAACUUCGUGCCAGCCGCCGCUGUAA